AUAACUUCGGGAACCGGAGCUAAUACCGGAUAAUAUUUCGAACCGCAUGGUUCGAUAGUGAAAGAUGGUUUUGCUAUCACUUAUAGAUGGACCCGCGCCGUAUUAGCUAGUUGGUAAGGUAACGGCUUACCAAGGCGACGAUACGUAGCCGACCUGAGAGGGUUAUCGGCCACACUGGAACUGAGACACGGUCCAGACUCCUACGGGAGGCAGCAGCC
rnacentral:rRNA from 1 species